rnacentral:rRNA from 1 species
GAGCUGUUUCGAGAAGAGUGGGGACUGCUAUAUCGGGGCUUUCGGGCUCUGGUAUGAUGGAAACCAUUUUAAUCGCAAUGGCUUGAACCGGGCAAAAGUCGUAACAAGGUAUCUGUAGGUGAACCUGCAGAUGGAUCAUCGU